UCUCCGUUGGUGAGCCAGCGGAGGGAUCAUUACUGAGUUACCGCUCUACAACCCUUUGUGAACAUACCUAACUGUUGCUUCGGCGGGCAGAGGUCCCUCGCGGAUCUCUCCCGGCAACGCCCUCACGGGCGGAGCGCCCGCCGGAGGAUACCAAACUCUAUUUUAACGACGUUUCUUCUGAGUGGCACAAGCAAAUAACUAAAACUUUUAACAACGGAUCUCUUGGUUCUG
rnacentral:misc_RNA from 1 species